rnacentral:rRNA from 1 species
AACCUGGUUGAUCCUGCCAGUAGUCAUAUGCUUGUCUCGCAGAUUAAGCCAUGCAUGCCUAAGUGUAAAUACUUUACAUUGAAACUGCGAAUGGCUCAUUACAACAGUUAUAGUUUGCUUGGAGCAUCCAAUCCACCGGAUAUCCGUGGAAAUCCUACAGUUAAUACGUAGCAGCUUCUUUUGAAGCGUUGCAUAUUACUGUGAACAAGUGGCAGAAUUUAUUCUGUCCUGCUUGAAAACUUUUAUGUACGAAUCGUGUUCCUACACGAAAGUCCAUCAAAGUUUCUGACCUAUCAGGUUUCGACGGUUGGGUAUUGGCCAACCGUGCCGAUAACGGGUAACGGGGGAUUAGGGUUUGAUCCCGGAGAGGGAGCAUGAGAGAUGGCUACCACAUCUAAGGAAGGCAGCAGGCGCGCAAAUUACCUAUCCCUGACGCAGGGAGGUAGUAAACAGAAAUAAUGACGCAUGAUUCUAAUCGUGCGAUCGGAAUGAGUAGGCUUUAAACAAGCUUACGAAUACAAUUGGAGGGCAAGUCUGGUGCCAGCAGCCGCGGUAAUUCCAGCUCCAAUAGCGUAUAUUAAAGUUGUUGCAGUUAAAAAGUUCGUAGUCGAACAUCAUCUGCUUGAUUGUUUUGGCGUCUAUGACGUUCCAGACAUUUCCAGCAGAGAGCGUGCGAAAAAUGUUGUUAUGCGUUUCGUAUAGCAUAGUUUUCGCAUAUUACUUUUGAGUGAAUCGGCGUGUUCCACGCAGGCC